AAUAUUUCAUUGAUGUAUAAAGUUAAUUUUAAAAGUCUAAUGGCAUAUGGUAACACAAGUGUUAUGCGAUCUCCAAUAAAAAGUUAAAAACAAAUAAAACAAGUAAAAAGCUACUAAAUAGCAAGCAACCACGCCGCAACACCAAUGCUCUAUAUUAUAAAAGUUAGGAAACUAAGCUAUAGGAACUUUUUUUAAGAGGUGGCACAGUAGGUGCCAGCAGUCGCGGUUACACCUACACCUCAAACUAACUUUCUCACUUCCUAAGCUAAUAAAUAUCUAAUGGCCCCACUAAUAAACCACAUACGUAAAAUCUAAAGACCAAUCACACCCAAAUCACCCAUCAAACCCUAGCUAACAAACCGCAAAAAUAAAACUUGGAUUAGAUACCCAACUAUUAAGCGGCUCAACAAAACAGAAUACUAAAAACUAAAGUUUAAACCUCAAACAAUGUGGCGGUGUUUUACUCCAUAUCAGGGGAUCCUGUUUCUUAAUCCGAUAGUCCACGAGCAACCAAGCUACCUUAGUAAUAAAAACAGCCUGUGUAUGGCCGUCUUCAGCCUGCUUACAAAAAAUAAUAAAAGGAGGCUACUGGUAAUAAUACCAAAAAAUCAGGUGACAUACAGCCAAUAAGUAGCAGACAAUGGGAUACAAAUAUGCACUAAUAUUAGAAUUUUAUUGUAAUAUAAAAUGCAAAGAGGACUUGAAAGUAAGUUAAUUUAAUAAUAAUUAACUGAAUAAGAACUAAAACGUGCACAAAUCGCCCGUCACUCCUACAACAAAAGUGGGAUAAGUCGUAACACAGUUGGGGUAAUGGAAAUUGCCCCUAAUGCA
rnacentral:rRNA from 1 species